UACCUGCAGCUCGAGUGGUAACCGCUAUUAUUGGGCCUAAAGCGUCCGUAGCCGGUUUGGUAAAUAUCUGGGUAAAUCGUGAGGCUUAACCUCACGAAUUUCGGAUAGACUGCCAGACUUGGGAUCGGGGGAGGUCAGAGGUACUCCAGGGGUAGCGGUGAAAUGUUGUAAUCCUUGGAGGACCACCGGUAGCGAAGGCGUCUGACUAGAACGAGUCCGACGGUGAGGGACGAAGCCCUGGGGCGCAAAUCGGAUUAGAUACCCGGGUAGUCCAGGGUGUAAACGAUGUGGGCUUUGUAUUGGAGGUCCCACGUGGGCGUCCAGUGCAGAAGAGAAGUUGUUAAGCCCACCGCCUGGGAAGUACGGUCGCAAGGCUGAAACUUAAAGGAAUUGGCGGGGGAGCACAGCAACGGGAGGAGCGUGCGGUUU
rnacentral:rRNA from 1 species